AAUCCCAACUAGUUGGUUUGCUUUGUUGACUUGUGUCUGUAUAUGUUUAUCAAACUUUAGCUUUGAAUUUAUAGUUACUCCUACAUCUUUCUCUGAUUGAACUGUUUCUAGUGUGAUUUCAAAUCCAUCGUAUGUCGACAUUUUAUAAGUGCUAUCUUGCCCAUAAUUGGAUUUGGUAGAAAUUGGAAGUAAUUUGCAUUUGUCUGGAUGAAAACGUAAUAGUCAUUUUUCGCUCCACUUGAACAUACUAUUUAUGUCGUUUUGUAUUAUGGUGUU
rnacentral:lncRNA from 1 species